AACANUCGAUAAUAGAAUAUGGAAUGNAGCACGCAAGUNGCCGAANGNGGACUGUUCAUGCUCCCUGUGAGUCCAAGACUGAGCGCGUCGAUAAGCCGUGAGGAGCGAGGCAGCAUUAGGAUACUAGAGUCCUCCGUAGCCGCACAACGAUGAAGCGAUAAGUGCUAGUUGGCUUGUGCCCAUUUAGUGUGGCAGCUCACGCAUUAAGCACACCGCACCGGCGAGUGGGGGCCGCGUCGCUGAAUUUAAAAGGAAUGGAAGGGGCCCGGCCCAAGACGUGCAGCAUGUGAUGUAAAUCGAAGCGAUGCGACGAACCUUACCAGGUCUAGCCAUCCUCUGUCACUCCUACAGAUAAGAUUUUGCCGUGCGGGAGACAGAGCCUCAGCUCAGGCAUGGUAGUCGUCACCUCAUGUCGUGUGAUGAUAGGUUGAGUUCAGUAACGAACGCAGCGCUUGCUUUGACUUUAGAUCAUUCACAAGAGCACUCUAAGGAGACUGCCGGUGACAAACCGGAGGAAGGUGGGGAUGACGUCAAAUCAUCAUGCCCCUUAUGGGUAGGGCUUCACACGUCAUACAAUGGAUCGUACAAAGGGCUGCAAGACCGCGAGGGGUAGCCAAUCCCAUAAAACCAUUCGUAGUUCGGAUUGUAGUCUGCAACUCGCCUACAUGAAGCCGGAAUCGCUAGUAAUCGCGGAUCAGCAUGCCGCGGUGAAUACGUUCCCGGGCCUUGUACACACCGCCCGUCACACCAUGGGAGUUGGUUUCACCAGAAGUAGGUGGGGUAACCGCAAGGAGCCAGCCUCCCAAGGUGGGACUGAUGAUUGGGGUGAAGUCGUAACAAGGUAACCGU
rnacentral:rRNA from 1 species